rnacentral:rRNA from 1 species
UACAGGGGGGGGCAAGCGUUGUUCGGAAUUACUGGGCGUAAAGGGCUCGUAGGCGGCCAACUAAGUCCGACGUGAAAUCCCAAAGCUUAACUUUGGAACUGCGUCGGAUACUGGAUGGCUUGAAUUCGGGAGAGGGAUGCAGAAUUCCAGGUGUAGCGGUGAAAUGCGUAGAUAUCGAGAGGAACACCUGAGGUGAAGACGGGUUGCUGGGCCGACACUGACGCUGAGUGCGCGAAAGCCAGGGGAGCAAACGGG